rfam:Sphaerobolus stellatus SS14 unplaced genomic scaffold SPHSTscaffold_146, whole genome shotgun sequence.
GGUUUGGUAGUUCAGUUGGUGGAACGUCUGCUUAACACGCAGAAGGUCGUCGGUUCAAGUCCGGCCCAGAUCA